AGAGCUCUAGGGCUUGAGGUAGAAAAAAAUUAUCUCCAGGACUCUUUCCUGCCUGGAAGAACCUUCUUCAGCCACUUUCACAUCCCUUCUGCUUGUCUGCAUCUCAUCCAUUACCUGGGACUCCUCCACUGCCCAGUCCUGAGGCAGUGCUCUGGGUUCUUUUCCAGGAGUACUGCUUUUGGUCAUUAGCUGACUGCUGCUCACUGGAUGGCUAUGUGAAGAGUCUCUUUACACUGCAGGGCUGGUUGGAAAGUCAUGGACCCAUUGAAGGCAGUGUGAACUCACUGUCUUGUGUUUCUGAACAGAAGAGCAAGGCAUAUCUGGCUCUGGUAGAACUGGAGGGGACAGAUGUCUCUCCUUGUUCUACCUGUUUAAAGUUAACAAAGAGUAAUAGUCUGGGAAAGAAACCUGAAAAAAAAAAAAACAAAAGAAAAAGAAAAGAAAGGAAAAGAAGAAAAAAGUGAAGGAGAGGCCAAAAAAGAGCAGCCAGACCUUCUGCCCUUGCUUCAACCAUAUCUGAUCCAUCAUGAUCGUUUCUGUGUGCUGGAGUUCUGAAUGAGGUCUCCAUUGACCAAAGGAGACUGCUGCAAAGAUAAAAAACUGAAGGGCACUUAUCUUAUCCAGUCCCUUCAUUGCAAAAGAUGAGUAAAAUGUGUUAUAGGAAGCUUAUGAAUAGCUAGGGAAUAUCAGAAACACACAUAUUGUCUUUUCCCUUUAUUAAUAGAUUGUGGGGUAUAAUGCUGAUCUGCUACUAUUAGAUACAUUGAGGUCAGAUAUAAUCUGCAUCCAUACAGUCUUUCCAGAAAAUAUUAUUCCCAUCCUUUGGCAGGGGUGCUCAGUGCACUUGGGACAGAUGAGAAACAUUCUUUGGGAAUAAUAGAGUUCUUCUCCCUUAGAAAUGUUUCAUGUACUUCAGAGUUGCUGCCAUAUGGUUCCCAUAAAGGUUCUGCCAAAAUUCCCGUGGUUCUCACAAGAGCUCCUACCUCCUCUGUUCUUUUAAUCUCCUGCUGCGGGUGGCAGACAUGGGAGAGACAGGCAAGCUGCAAAGGGAAGUCGAUGAAAUAAAAUUAAAGCCCUACAAUCGUGUUCGUGUCAAUGUAGAUGGGGUGCCCCCCUCGGUUUGCUCACAGAGGUGGGUGUGAGAUCCUACAGGACGGUCUGGAAGACAUCCCAUGGAAGGCACUUUAUUUUGCCCAGAAGCUGGAGGAAAAGCAGAAGGAUGCUGAACACUGACUAAGAGGAGAGAGCACACAUUACAUGGAGACCAUGGUCCCUAUACCAGAAACAUGAGAGUAGAGAGAAGCAAAGCCAGCAUCGUGGAGCCAGUCCCUUUAUCCAGGGUCUUGGAGGGAUACAGUCUUCUGUAGAAAUUAAAUAAAAACUGAAUUCUUCAAUGGGUAUUUUGAGAAGAGAGCCACUGUAAGCUUAUACACUGUGAAUUGCAAAAUGUUACUGCCUCUGGGUGGACAGGUUUUAAAAAGACUUUUUUUUUUUUCCUCCUGGCAUGACUGACAGAGGGAAGGCUGGGUUUCAAUCCCAUCUUUCCCUUCCCUUGCCCAGUGCUUCUUUAUGUGCGCAACCUGCACAACUAUAUGUGGUUUGCAAACACGCAUAAGCAAAGACUAACAGCUUCUGAAACAAACCCUGAAUAAAAGAGGGAGCAUAUUAAGGCAGAUGGCAGAGGAGGUGAGCAGCAUGGGCAGAUAGAAGCAUCACAGAGACUACAAGAAGAAUGUGCCAGACCAGCUCAUAGUGGCCACACUUAUUAAGAAUUAUCAUCAGCUCUUUAGGAUUUGGAAACUUGGAAACACAUUGUGUGUUCUUCCUGGUUUGUUAUAGAGUAUGUGUAUGUACUUCUUUCUCUUAAAAAUAUUUAUUUUUAAAGAAUUGACUUAUAAAAUUAUAUGUAUUUAUCAUGUAUAACACAAUAUUUUGAAGUACAGUCCUGUGUCAUAAGGAUAUGUUCUGAGAAAUCCAUCAAUUUUGUCAUUGUAUAAACAUGAUAGAGUGUAUUUACACAAACCUAGGUGGUAUAAACUACUACACACCUAGGCUACAUAAUGUAGCCUAUUGCUCCUAGGCUGUAAACCUGUAUAACAUGCUACUGUACUAAAUACUAUAGACAAUAGUCAUGUACUGGUGAGUAUUUGCGUAUCAAAACAUAUCUAAAUAUAGAAAAGAUGCAGUAAAAAUAUGGUAUUACAAUCUUAUGAGACCACUAUAGUAUAUGAGGUCCAUCAUUGAUUAAAACAUAGUUAUAUGGUGCAUGACUGUAUAUAUGCAUUGUGGAAUGGUUAAAUCUAGCUAACUAACAAAUGUGUUACAUCACAUAGUUAUUAUUUUUGGGGUGAGAACACAAUAUUCACUCUCUUAGCAUUUUUUAAGAAUACAGUAUAUUAACUAUAGUCACCAUGCUGAAUGGUAGAUCUCUGGAACUAAUUUCUCCUAUCUAAGUGUGAUUAUGUACCCUUUGACCAACAUCUUUCUAACCCCACCCCACAAACACCCCAUAAUAAAGCCUCUUGUAACCACCAUUUUA